GACGAACGCUGGCGGCGUGCUUAACACAUGCAAGUCGAACGGGCCUGUCUUCCUUUUUGGGGGGUGGGUUGAGUGGCGAACGGGUGAGUAUCACGUGAGUAACCUGCCCUUCGGUCCUGGAUAACCGCUUGAAAGGGCGGCUAAUACGGGGUGGUCCGGUUGGUCCGCAUGGGCUGGUCGGGAUAGAUUCACUGUUUUUGGUGUUUCGGCGGGGGAUGGGCUCGCGGCCUAUCAGCUUGUUGGUGGGGUGAUGGCCUACCAAGGCGGUGACAGGUAGCCGGCCUGAGAGGGUGGGCGGCCACACUGGGACUGAGAUACGGCCCAGACUCCUGCGGGAGGCAGCAGUGGGGGGUAUUGCACAAUGGGCGGAAGCCUGAUGCAGCGACGUCGCGUGAGGGAUGGAGGCCUUCGGGUUGUGAACCUCUGUUUCCGGUGGUGAAGGCCCUGUCCGUGUGGUGGGGUUGACGGUAGCCGGGGAUGAAGCGCCGGCUAACUACGUG
rnacentral:rRNA from 1 species